AAGUAUUCAAGAGUUUUAUUGAUUAAAAGCAAAAGAAAGGAUCUUUUGUAGAAUUCAUUAAUUAGUUAAGAUUUAAUUGGGAUGAAAAAUAGCUUAAAGAUCUAAUUGAUACCUGUCUUAAAGAUUGAAGGGGACUUUCUUGAGGUUUGCUUUUUAUUUUAUCCAUAAAAAUCUGGAAGAAGCUAAUAAAUCAAACCUUAAAAGAGAAGAGAGAAAGCCAGAGAAAUUCAUUUCUUCUAAAUCAAGACACUCGUCUCUGUGAGAGAGAGAGGGAUGAGAAAUGGAUGACAAUCGAUAGAUAAUAAAAAAGCAAGGAAAGAUAGUUUGUUCAGAAAAAGAAAUGUUGGUGACCUGUUUGACGAGAUAGGAUUGAGGCAAAUACUUACAACUGUUACCAUCACAAGCAGAAGCUGAAAGGUCAAUUUCAUGUUUCAGACUGAAUGAUAAGAUUUUGAGUUGGAAACUGGAAGAAUUGUGUUCUCUUUGUUACAAAGUUGUUCACAGAUUCUUAAAUUAUUUUUAAACCCAGUCUAAUAAGAACUUUUUACUAAAUUGUCAAGAAUAGUGAUGUUGUAUCCCUUGAUACAUGGGAUUGUUCCAAGCUUCAGCUAAUUACUAAUCCUUACUGAUUUAUGACUGCAUUGUAAUUGAGUGCUUCUUUGAGACCAA